rnacentral:rRNA from 1 species
GAUGAACGCUGGCGGCGUGCCUAAUACAUGCAAGUCGAGCGAACAGACGAGGAGCUUGCUCCUCUGACGUUAGCGGCGGACGGGUGAGUAACACGUGGAUAACCUACCUAUAAGACUGGGAUAACUUCGGGAAACCGUAGCUAAUACCGGAUAAUAUAUUGAACUGCAUUGUUCAAUAGUUAAAGACGGUUUUGCUGUCACUUAUAGAUUGAUCCGCGCCUCAUUAGCUAGUUGGUAAGGUAACGGCUUACCAAGGCAACGAUGCGUAGCCGACCUGAAAGGGUGGUCCGCCACCCUGGAACUGAGACACGGUACAGACUCCUACGGGGGGAAACAGUACGGAAUCUUACGCGAUGGGGGAAAGGGUGACGUAGCAACGCCGCGUGAGUGAUGAAGGACUUCGGAUGGUAAAACUCUGUUAUUAGGAAAGAACAAAAGUGUAAGUAACUAUGAUCGUAUUGACGGUACCUAAACAAAAAGCCACGGCUAACUACGUG